AACGAACGCUGGCGGCAUGCCUAACACAUGCAAGUCGAACGAGACCUUCGGGUCUAGUGGCGCACGGGUGCGUAACGCGUGGGAACCUGCCCUUAGGUUCGGAAUAACUCCCCGAAAGGGGUGCUAAUACCGGAUAAUGUCUUCGGACCAAAGAUUUAUCGCCUUUGGAUGGGCCCGCGUUGGAUUAGCUAGUUGGUAGGGUAAAAGCCUACCAAGGCGACGAUCCAUAGCUGGUCUGAGAGGAUGAUCAGCCACACUGGGACUGAGACACGGCCCAGACCCCUCCGGGAGGCCGCAGGGGGGAAUAUUGGAAAAGGGGCGAAAGCCUGAUCCCGCAAUGCCGGGGGAGUGAUGAAGGCCUUGGGGUUGUAAAGCUCUUUUACCCGGGAUGAUAAGGACAGUCCCGGGAGAAAAAGCCCCGGCUAACUCCUG
rnacentral:rRNA from 1 species